rnacentral:rRNA from 1 species
GUGUUAAUUUUAGUUUACCUGGGUAAUAUUAGUUAAGGUCUUUAAACCCAAAGAAUUUGGCGGUAUUUCAUUCCAUUCAGAGGAACCUAUCUCGUAAUUGAUAGUACACGAUUAACUUUACUUGAUUUAUUUGUUUGUAUAUCUCCGUUAUCAGAAAAUCUUUUUGGAGUUAUAAUUUUCCUAUUUUUCCAUUAAAAUUUAUUUCAGGUCAAGGUGCAGCUUAUAAUCAAGUGUGUGAUGGGUUACAAUAAAUUUUUUUAUUAUGGAUUUAAUUUUGAAAUAUUUUUAAUGAAGGUGGAUUUGAUAGUAAUUUAAUUUAUUUAAUUUAAUUGAUAUUGGCUCU